UGAUUUUGAUUUUGAUCAAGACUGAGAUUUUAUUGGUUUCGAUAGGUCAUUGAAAGGGUUUUCAUAUUUUUGUUUUUGCAGGAAUGGAAGAGAUGAGUUUUGCAGGCAAUGGAAGUCUCGCUUUAUAUAUAGAGAUUUAAGCCAAAGCAGCCACUGAGGCCUCUCCAUUUCCAUUGCUUCAGUCUCCCCAAGCUAAAACUCCCCCUCUGAGGAUAAAGCCGUCAAGAUAUUGAUCAAUCCAAUGGCUCUCAUGCAUGUUAUUGGAACUUCCUUUCAGGUAUGACAAAUCAGCAACUUAUUGAUCAUGGACACCAAAUGAUGGAUGAGACUGAUCA